CGUGAGUAACCUGCCUUGGAGUGGGGGAUAACACAGUGAAAACUGUGCUAAUACCGCAUAAUGCAUUUGGGUCGCAUGAUUCUGAAUGCCAAAGAUUUAUCGCUCUGAGAUGGACUCGCGUCUGAUUAGCUGGUUGGCGGGGUAACGGCCCACCAAGGCGACGAUCAGUAGCCGGACUGAGAGGUUGACCGGCCACAUUGGGACUGAGACACGGCCCAG
rnacentral:rRNA from 1 species